GACCAUCAGACAAAGUAACUCUUUGAGUGAAAUCAGUAUACACACAGAAGGAGCGCAAAACCUUCCUUAAUUGGUAAAUAUGAACCUUGAUGCGGUUGGCCGGACGCUUCUUGCAUGGAUCGAUACAGGCGUUAAGUCGAUUUUACAUGGCCAUUACCCUUUGCAGAAAAACAUCACGCCAUGAAUAAAUACUGUACGAGGUGACAAAUUAUGACAAGUCAGGA
rnacentral:sRNA from 12 species